UUUUAGAUUAGAUGGGGCUGCCAAGAUGGCUCAGCAGGUGAAGGUACUUGUCACCAAGGCUAGUAGGCUAGGUUCUCUAAACCCACAUGGUAGAAAUAACCACAGGUGAGCCUUGGUGCAUGUGUUGAAACCAAUUUGUAACAGAAACAGCGAUUUUUGUGCUUGUUGUUGCUAAAUAACUUUAAAACUUAUUUUCAUUGAGCUAAUCUGACAAAAUAGCUUUAGUCCGAGAGCAGAGCUUGUUCCUUAAUUGAUUAAUGAAAAAUCAUUUGGUCUCAUAAAGAAGAUCCUCUGGGAAUGGGGGCAGUGCCAUUAGUCUGAACAGAGCUUCGUGGGAGCUGAGAGGUGUUUUCGAGGUUAUGUGCCACUGAUAAACUCAUCACAAUUGUGUCCACUGCUGACUAAGUCUACACACCACUGUAAAAUAGAUCCUGGAUCCCAGAAUCCUUUCCAGCACAGACUUCCAGCUCGGUCUUCGUGUGCCUGUUGCAGGAACUGGUGAGAUCUGGGGGUCACUCUGAGGACACGACGGCCCCCCUACAUCAGCACUUUGUGCCUCCCUCAAUCUCAUUUCCCCUCUAGCACGCCUGAGCUUGAAGCUGUCCUGUCCCCGAGCGCUUCCAUCUCCUUUUUAAAGUUCGAGCUGACGAGAGAAGUUUCUCGUCCCACUUCCCCUUCUCCUC